GUUUUACUGAUGAGAAGCCUGACUCUGAGAUGCCAGAACCUGGUGGAAAGCAAGCCCUGGGGAACAGGCUGGAUUCUGCACUUCAAAUGUUAUUUUUUCUCAGCACGAGGAAGACCAAUCGCUCUUUGUGAAACAGGAAACAAGAUCUUGAAGCAGAACUUGCUCUGUCACCCACGACUGGAGUGCAGUGGCAUUAUCAUAGCUCACUGGAGCAUCAAACUCCCAGGCUCAAGGGAUUCUUCUACCUCAGCCUCCCGAGAAGAUUAGGUAUACAUCAGCACGCCU
rnacentral:lncRNA from 1 species